rnacentral:rRNA from 1 species
UACGUAGGUGACAGCGUUGUCCGGAUUUCUGGGCGUAAAGAGCGCGCAGGCGGUCGUUCGAGUCGAGUGUGAAAAGCCCCCCGGCUCAACUGGGGAGGGUCAUUCGAUACUGAUCGACUCGAAGGCAGGAGAGGGUAGUGGAAUUCCCGGUGUAGUGGUGAAAUGCGUAGAUAUCGGGAGGAACACCAGUGGCGAAGGCGA